rnacentral:rRNA from 1 species
AUUGAACGCUGGCGGCAUGCCUUACACAUGCAAGUCGAACGGUAGCGGGCCUUCGGGUGCCGACGAGUGGCGAACGGGGGAGUAAUGUAUCGGAACGUACCUUUCAGUGGGGGAUAACGUAGCGAAAGUUACGCUAAUACCGCAUAUUCUGUGCGCAGGAAGGCAGGGGACCUUCGGGCCUUGCGCUGGUUGAGCGGGCGCUAUCAGAUUAGCUAGUUGGUGAGGUAAAGGCUCACCAAGGCAACGAUCUGUAGAGGGUCUGAGAGGAUGAUCCGCCACACUGGAACUGAGACACGGUCCAGACUCCUACGGGAGGCAGCAGUGGGGAAUUUUGGACAAUGGGGGCAACCCUGAUCCAGCCAUGCCGCGUGAGUGAAGAAGGCCUUCGGGUUGUAAAGCUCUUUCGGCCGGGAAGAAAUCGUAUCAGCUAAUACCUGGUGCGGAUGACGGUACCGGCAUAAGAAGCACCGGCUAACUACGUGCCAGCAGCCGCAGUAAAAC